rnacentral:rRNA from 1 species
GUCCACGCCGUAACGGUGGGUGCUAGUUGUGGGUUCCAUUCCACGGAAUCUGUGACGAAGUUAACACAUUAAGCACCCCGCCUGGGGAGUACGGUCGCAAGACUAAACUCAAGGAAUUGACGGGCCCGGCCACAAGCGGCGGAGCAUGCGGAUUAAUUCGAUGCAACGCGAAGAACCUUACCAAGGCUUGACAUAUACAGGAAAGACGUAGAAAUAACGCUCCCCGCAAGGUCUGUAUACAGGUGGUGCAUGGUUGUCGU